rnacentral:rRNA from 1 species
AACCAGCUCUUCAAGUGGUCGGGAUAAUUAUUGGGCUUAAAGUGUCCGUAGCCGGUUUGGUAAGUUCCUGGUAAAAUCGGGUAGCUUAACUAUCUAUAUGCUAGGAAUACUGCUAUACUAGAGGGCGGGAGAGGUCUGAGGUACUACAGGGGUAGGGGUGAAAUCUUAUAAUCCUUGUAGGACCACCAGUGGCGAAGGCGUCAGACUGGAACGCGCCUGACGGUGAGGGACGAAAGCCAGGGGAGCGAACCGGAUUAGAUACCCGGGUAGUCCUGGCUGUAAACGAUGCAUACUAGGUGAUGGCACGGCCAUGAGCCGUGUCAGUGCCGUAGGGAAACCGUUAAGUGUGCCGCCUGGGAAGUACGGUCGCAAGGCUAAAACUUAAAGGAAUUGGCGGGGGAGCACCACAAGGGGUGAAGCCUGCGGUUC